UCCUCUUUCGGAUUGAAAUUGAAAGACCAUGGGAAUAUUCUGAAAAAAUAUUCAUCACCUUUGGAUUUAAGGUAUCCAGUUGACUUUGAAAGGAACUGAACAUAAUCAUUGAAAAGAUCGAAUCUAACCAAUAGAUGCCUAACUUCCAGCAAUCCGACAUUGCAAUGACCUUUAACAUCAAAUUGUGAAGAAAAAAUUCUUCGCACUUCCGACAUAUCUGGUCUGCCAUAAGAGAAUUUUAAAACAACAGCUUGGUGCAAGCCUUCCUCUAUGUUGAAAUUGUAAACUUCUUCCAUAGUGAAUUGGAUUACUGGAUCCUCAUUGUCAAAAUUAACUGUGCACAACUCCAUUUUUG
rnacentral:lncRNA from 1 species